rnacentral:lncRNA from 1 species
GUAACCCAACGCGGCCCCCAUAAGCCGGGAUGGUGCAAUUGAAGAGAAAAAGUAACCGAAAAUAUACUAUGUAACCAUAUCUCAAAACCAUAACCGUGAAUCCUUCCAUACAAUAAAUACCAUAAACAACCUCUCAAUGCCAGACUUGAAUCGGAAUUCAUGUAAUCAAUUACCGGACUUGAAUCGGAAUGCAUAGAUCAUAAAUCGCUGGACUUGAACUGAAACUAGUGUCAACUCACAAGUACCAAUCUAGCAUAAGCAUCAUGUAUCCAACCUCUUCAAACUCUAAUAUAUGUUUUUAAAAGAUAUAACACACCUAAUGAGUCUAAAAGGGGCUAACGAUAGUCUUGGCCUAAAGUGGGCCGGAGGGGCCCACUUAUAUUCCCCGAAAUCCGUUCUAAGGCAAAUUCUAUCCUAGACUAGGCUAAGGUAUCUAAUUCUACUAUUAGAUAUUAAAUAAGUCACCUUUAGUCCUAAGAUAUCAAUUCUACCUAAAGCAUGAGUAACUAAUCAAUUACACCUAAUUUAUGGUUCCUUAAUAGACUAAAUAUUCCAAAUAAUACUAAUUAUACCUCCAAGACCUAAUUCCAACCCAUAUCUAGCACAUUAUCAUGACUAUACUACACAUCAGGCCAAUCUAUGAGAUAGGUAAACCUAGCCUGCCUGGAUGCCGAAGAAAGCCCGGUGAAAUCCGCUAAAUCAGUGGUUUCCCUUCUCGAGAAGCUUCCGCAAGAUGCCACGCUAGCAAAAUGAUAAUCUACUCAUCAAUACGAGAACAACUGUACUCAUAUUGCCCUUUUGUGUGUCGGGUUCAAAAUUACGUAAAAAUCUCAUGUGGGGCUCGCUUGCAGAAUCGCACCUUCGAAACCGACAACAUGCCCCUUUACGCUCAAGGAACAUUUACUCUCAAGAAUGGGUAAAUUCUGAGCUCAAAUGGUGCUAAAUCAACCCACCAAUAAUCUAGGUAUUUUGGGAAAUUAUUGAGAAAUUAACCAUGCAAUUAAUGAAAACUUACCAAGAGUUUGGAGAAGAAACGAGUAAUUCAGGCUCACCAACUCCCCAAAAUUAUCUAUUAAUGUUCCUCCGAAGUUUUCACACUUUCUAGGGAUUUUCUCUCUUGAACUUGUGUGAAAAUGAGAGAAAAAUUGGGAAAAUGGGGCAUUUUAAUGGCUUCUAGGUGCCGCUAAAGCGGUAGCGAUACCCGCCUAUGCCUGGCAUGCCGCUAAAGCGGAAAAACCGGUGCUAAAACGGCUUGUGCUUUAGCGGUCAACUUGCCGCUAAAGCGGCUCGCUAGGGCUGGCUAGGCCGCUAAAGCGUCCUCUGCUAAAGUGCCUAAAGGGCCGCUUUAGCAGAUGCACCAACUGAAGACUUGAAAUUUUUCCAAGUCUCCACGGACCCUUUGGGAUUCGUUUGUAAUCCCGUAUACGCAAAUGAACGAUGCUACCCUAUCAAAUUCGACGUUCCAAACUCAAUGGUGCAGUCAACAUUUUCAUUCGAGGUCGUUUCGAUGAAAAGUGGGUCCCAAACCCAAAGUGCCAUUUUUCUUAAUUUCCGGCCAAUUGCCCGGAAUGAAUCCGGGAGCCUUGGAAUUCGAAGCAAAGGUCCACCUAGCCUAAAAUCGACGUUCUGGAGCUGUUGGAACUGUCAGAGUUGGCAUACGAGGUCGUUUGACUGAAGUUUUCGCCCAGUAGCCAACUUUACUAGCGAAGACUUCAAAAUAUGGAAUUGACUCUAAAAAUCAAACGAAUUGCUCGGUAAUUGAACUUGCAGCUCCAGUAAGUCAUAAUUGACUUAGGGCAGCUAUAGGAAAGCUCUAGACGAAAAUACGUGAAAUGGAGAAAAUGACCUGGAGGGUCACUAUAGCCUUGUAAAGAGACCACCUAUCUCAUUAAUCACCAAUGUGGGACAAUUUUCCUUCAGCACCUUACCUCAAGCCCAGGACUAGACAUUUGGUGCAUGUGCAAUUUUUAAUUUGGGGGCCCAACAUUGGGUGAGAUAGGUUCUGAUACCAUCUAAAAUUAGGUAUUGGACCUAACUCACACCUCAAAAGCUAGUUCAAAAGGAGGAGGAUUUCCCAAUCUUAUAAAGAGACCGACCACCCAUCUAACCACUAAUGUGAAACUUUUCUCAUUCUUCAGCACCUCUAUUGGUAUUAUUUGAUAUAGCUCGGGGGUGUCAAUUUGAACUUCUAGUUGGUUUAAAUGAAAGUUCCGACACUUUAUUCGCUAUUUCAAUAAUGCCGACAAAUGAAUAAUUUGGGGCUUGUCAUUCUGUUAAACAACUAGUCUUGUAAUUCCCUUCGUUUAUCUGUAUCGGAAGGGAGGCAUAGAAAGCAUAUGAUAGAAGACGAAACUACGAAAAAUGGAAACGACACAAAAAUAAAGGAAAAUAAGACAAUAAAAUAAAAGAUAGAUAGAUUGACAUAAAUCGAUAACGAGAGGACAACCAAGGGUAUACCAAACCUAGACCUUCCUAUCAAUCUUCAACAACACCAACCUCUUACGGGGACACAAACGAGAAUGGAUUCCCGAGCACCCACGUUUCUCACGAAUAAAGACACUCCCAACAAGAAAACUAGUUAUUUAUAGCCAUGAGCUAUUUUACACAAUGGGCCCAAAAGUGACCUAAAAGCUAUUGGGCCCAAAAGUGACCCAAGAGCCCAAACAAAACAAGGGGCGCCCAUACUCUCUCGAGGCCCACGCUAUCAUCCAAAUGCGGUGUUGCUCAACGCUCCUUUGGAUGACAUCUUCAAGUAUAGCUUCUCCCGCAUUCCAAGCUAUUAUCCACACGUGAUAUGGUUCUCGUGGGAGCUUAACAAGGGUACUCCAAACAUGUCUUAGCAUCCUCGAGAUGGUCAUGGCUUGAAAUCCCUUGUGUUGGCCUCGAAUUAUAUGCUCAAAUGCGGUGAUGCCAAUUUGGAUUGUAUCAGCAUAUUAUUCUAGUCCUAAUAAUCAUAAAAGACAAAUGUUUUGUGCUUUAGAUGUGUUUAAAAUAGAAGUAUCCGGGGUGUAACCGAAUGGUCAGUGAAGUGGGUGCAAACCUUGGAAACGAAGGGUCAAAUUCCAACCAAGAAAAGCAGCAACACUAGUUGAUUUGUUUCCAUCCGCUUAAGCUGUGGGUAGAGUUACUCGAUAUUUGUGUUGGUGGGUUAGCAUAUACCUAUUGGAAUAGUCGAAGUGCACACAAGUGGUUCACACCGUCGUUUAAAACGUAUCUGAAAUAGAAGUGUUAGUAGUCCUAAAGUGGUGGCUUGUGCUAGUCAAUGCUUUUGAAAGCGAAAAGCACAAAAAAAGGAUAAGGCUCUUGGGACUUUAAGUCGAGGAGCGAGUUAGGAAACAGUUGCUUAACCUACCGAAAAUAUAAAAUAAUGUCUUAUCACAUGGGAUUAUAGUUUGCAUUAUGUCAAAAUUGUAGUUACAUUUACUUAUUUCAAAAUCCAAUAUACUACAAAAACCAAUGUUUAUUGGAAGAUCUCCAAUUAAAUAUCAUUUAAAAUCGACAAGCCCACUAAAAGAUAACUCCAGCCACAAAAGUGACGUUCAAUGUCUAAUCAAUUGUUGAAGUAUCUCGGUGCUUCAUAAACAAUGCUUAGAUUAGCUUUAAUUGGGAAGGGAUACUUAUUUUUUUUUUUAAAAAAUAAAUUGAUAAAUUCCAUUAAAGUUAAAGGCAAAAGGAAGCCCGUACAUAAGAAGUAUUUGAAAAAAUAGAAAACCUACAAAAUUUAUAUGAUUUUCUACGAAUGACACCCAAGCUUCUAUACAUAAAGAAGCCUCAUGGGUACAUCAAAUCAAAAAGAAAUAAAGGAUAAGAGAUUGCUCUUUUUUUUUCCCAUUGCUACUUCCUAAAAAGUUCUCCUAUUUCUCUCUCCAAAAGAUCCACAUUGGCAUAAGUGCUAGUGACGCAACAUUCCAUGCCUUGCGUUCUCCUUCAUCCACCACAAUUUCCAGUAGGAUAUUACUUCUUUCACCGUGCCUGGCAUCAACGCAAAGUACACCAGACUAUCCCAAGAUUUCCCAGUAUGAUAUAGAGGCUGCAGAACAAUUUAAGAGGAGAUGGUUGACAUCUUUACUCGAGCCCUUCGCACAAACUACCAACAAAAUAUGUAACCUUUGUCUUCCUAAGAUUUGUAAGACCUUAUAUUUGCUAUCAACCUGUCUCCUAGAGACUUUCUUCGUCCAAAUCUCCAUAACCACUUUCCCAACAAGGCCUUUGAACAUCCUUAGAUCUAUAAUUCCCAAACCACCUCAACAUGUAGGAGUGGUAACGGUCUCCCACCGCACCAGCUUCCAUGCCUGUCUAUCGAAUUCCAUUAGAAAUUCUAUUACUGUCUUUCCAAUUUCCGUGGCUCAGAUGAGGCCUGGAAUCCAACUUUCUUGUGACAAAGAUGGAGCAAGGAACAAGGACAUGAAAUAUGUGGGUUUGCUCGAUAAUGUACUGUUAAAAAGGGCUUUCCUACCUCCUUUGGAUAAAUAUUUUUUCUGCCCUGCUGCUACUUCUUCUCAAGACACUGUAGUACCGGGAUCCACACUGUGUGAUACUUUAUUAUUGUCUCAUGUUUAGUCUAUAAUAAAGAAUUGUUGAAUAAAUAGAGAACAAACAAGAAAAGGAGAAAAAAAAAUCGUUGACAUCAAGAAAGAAUAGGAUAGAGAAGCUGAAGAGAAGCUUUAAACCAAAUUAAUAAAAGUAAAAAAUGCAGAGAGAAAAAGAAAAAGAAGAGCGAGUCAUCUUAAGAAGAAAUCAACCGAAACGAAGUAAAUCAAGAGAACUAUAAGAAGAGGCACAAGAAUGAGAGAAGAAAAAAUUAAGAGAGAAUCGAAACAUACCUAAACAGGAAACUUAGAUUCAAGAUAGCAAAAGCACAAGACAAUAUUUUAUUGUUUUUGGAUUUUUUAGCCUUUCCAAGUCAAAUUCAAAGAAGCGAUUGGUUCUAGCUCGGUACCAUUCCCUUGUAAUAGUAUUGUCGAAUUUGACUUUGAAAUAAAGCUUCGUUUCUUCUAUAAGUUGCUUCACUUCACCCAAGUGAAGUGAAACUCUCACUUCGUAAUGAUUCAUCGCUGUAAGGAACUGACUGAUUUCUUUGUUUAAUGCUGGUGCUAGCACUCGUCGAGUUUUCAAAUUUUGGCUACUUGAAGCUUUAUGUUGAUCUAUAAAUAUAGAACAAUCUUUAUGUUUUAAGUAAUUGGAUAACAAAGAGAAGAUGGGAACUGCCGAAGUAGAUCCAGCAGUAGUAGUAAAUUUUGUCUUGGUUGAACUUUGUUCACACAUUUCAGGUGGUAAGGUACCAUUCCCUCGUAAUAGACCCGAAAUCACUUCCAAAGGAACUCAUUCCUAUAGCUUGGACCUCAAUGGCUGAGACACUCCCUUUCCAUGGUGUCGGGCGAUCCAAUUCAUUCUUAAAUGCGUCCAAAGAAGUAGAAGAUAUUUUUGAUGGGAUGUUGGAGUUAUCAUGUGAUUCAAAGGAUCUUCAAAGUGAAAAAGUCCUCAUGGGCGUCAUGCAUUCAAGUAGGCCGCACUAUGGAUUGCAGGUGAGUUUGGUCAUUCACUUUGCACGAGAUCUACUCCUAUUUCACUAGUAUGUAACAUCGAUUUCGUUUCUCCUACCAGUUCCAUCCAGAAAGUGUUGCGACACGUCAUGGAAGACAGCUUUUCAAGAAUUUCCGGAAAAUCACAGAGUAUUAUUGGCUCCGGUUGACAUCAACCUCCAUCAAUGAAAGAAGGGUUCAUUAUGCUGGUAACUGCUCUAUAAAAUAGAGAUAGUCCAAUGAAGCUGCCUAUUUAGUAUCCUAUAGUCUCGUUGAGUUCUUUUCAUGGCAUUGGAUUAUUCGUUUAUUUGGAGAACUUUACAAAUGGUUUUCUGUCAAAGAAGUGUCUGGAUUAUCUAUCACUUGCUUCUGUAAUUAGUUUUGAGUUUCUCUUGUUUGCUAUUUAUCAUUGUGUGACUCCUAAAUCAUCAUCUAAAUGCUUUCAGCCUUUUCUAUUCUGUUUCAGUAGAUUGUCCACACAUUUACUCUGGGCGGUAAAAUUUACUUAGCAUGUUUGCAGGUGCCUAAUGUAGACCCACUGCCCGAAAGUGUUGCAAGACAUGAGCAUCUGCUGAAUAAAUUUAUUGAGCGAGGAACUGCCGUAGUGGAUGGAAGCUUACAUCUAUCACAUCCAGGUCACAGUGUAAAAUUUUUGAAGAUGACGUGGAAAAAAGUUGAUUGCUCUGCCAGCCAAGUUGGUGGAGCAGAUAAU